rnacentral:tRNA from 1 species
GCCGUGAUCGUAUAGUGGUUAGUACUUCUUGUUGUGGCCGCGACAACCUAGGUUCGAAUCCUGGUCACGGCA